AAAACCCUACUGUGUGCGUAAAUGGUCUCGAUGUUUUGAACCAACACUUCAUACAUUGGGAGUCCGGGCUCUAUUGCGGUAAAACAAUGCCUUUUGCGGGACUGUUGAACCUCAUAGGAGGACACCCACCUGCUUAGGCAGGCUCAAAACUCGGUUUAUAAACGGCAUGGUGGGGUUCUU
rfam:Megasphaera sp. BV3C16-1 contig00012, whole genome shotgun sequence.